rnacentral:tRNA from 1 species
CUGCCCAUAGCUCAGUUGGAUAGAGCAUCAGCCUUCUAAGCUGAGGGUCACAGGUUCGAUCCCUGUUGGGCAGACCA